rnacentral:misc_RNA from 1 species
AACGCACCUUGCGCCUUUUGGUAUUCCGAAAGGCAUGCCUGUUUGAGUGUCUUGAAAACCUCAACCCCUCUGGUUUUGCGACCAGGGUGGGCUUGGACUUGGGUGUCUGCCAUCCGUGGCUCACCUCAAAAGACUUUGUGGGAUCGUAUUCCAGAGUAAACGUAAUAAGUUUCGUUUGCGAUGGGGUUGCGGCCUGCCUAUAACCCGCCUCACGGCAACUUCUUGACUUUUGACCUCAAAUCAGGUAGGGCUACCCGCUGAACUUAA